CGUGUAUAUUGACGACGACGCGCAGUCGGUAUUGUAUCAUUUAAUUUGAAAUUGUUUUUGCUUUCGCAAAGUUAUUGCCGAAAACUUUUUACGAGAUAUAUAUGUGUGUGUGUGUGUGUGUGUGUGUGUGUGUGUAUAAUAUGCCGUUGCGU